UACCAACCUGGCAGGAGUCGUUUAAAAAUAAACAUAUUAAACAGAAACGGAGAGGAGUAAGCUAUACUAGAUGUGUUUUCUUUCUUGGGAUAGAGCUAAAAGAGUUUAAGACCCUUUGUGUUCCCAGACAUGUCUAGGCCUAAUUCAAGUGGAAGUGAAUGCAGUCACACUGGAAUGAGUGUUCAUAUUCCACAAGAGUUGCCAGACUUUUUGCUGCAGUUCACCAAAGAUGCCAUCAGAGCUCAGCCAGAGGAUAUUAUUGAGUAUUCCACUGCGUACUUCACAGCUAUGGUGAAAGGACAGCCUUUUUCAGUGAAGCCAAAUCCUGAAACCAAACUGGAACUGACAAAUGAGAUAUUGGGAAUUCUACAUUCCCAGUUAUCUGAAAGGGAGACCGUUAGAAAGUUGGAGAUUGGGCUCAUAUGGAAAAGUUUGAAUAUGCCAGAGAAUACCUUGAACCACAUCCUUUCAAUGGGAAAGUUUGGUGAAGAAAUUGAAUGGAAUAAAUUCCUUGCUUCAUGCUGCAGUUAUCUUGGAAAGAAUGUCAAAGAUGCCUUGACUCAAGCCUGCUACAUAAUGAACUGCGAUUCCAACUGUAAGCCUCCAGAUGCAUGUGUGUCCUUUGAAACCUUCCGGUUUCUCUACACCUACCUGGCAGUUGGGAAUGAGAACAUCUCACAGUCGCAGAUUGACAGAGUUCUCAGCUAUCUGCAAAAGAGAGCGAUCUCGAACAACGGUGUGGUAAAAGUAUCAGACUUCAUUAACAAUCGCAAAUUGUGUCUGGAUCCAACUAACUGAUUCAUCUUUACAGGCUGUCAAUCAGGUCCCAUUGUAGUGGAAAUAAAUAUGAUUAUAUUUAACUUAGACUCGAAGUAGUAUUUUUUUCUGCUUUACA